rnacentral:lncRNA from 1 species
CAACAAAAUUCGCAAUAACAGUUACAACAAUAAGGAUAAUUUUUGCACCCAAACCUGUGUCAGUCCCAGUGAUAAUACGAUGCAAGGAGAAUCCUUAUACUCUACUCAACAAACAAAUGCGCAUAUUAUGCCUUUUUCAAAAGAAUUACCACUUAAAAUAAACAAAGAAGAAACAAAGAAAAAUACAAAUAUUAUUGCGAAUAAAAACAACCACUCUAACAUUAAUAAAACAGGAAGUUGCGACAACUGCUUAAUCUCAAGUAGUCCCGAAAAAAUAGAUCUAUUAUCACUUAAAAUGGAAAAAGAAAAAACAAACAAACUAUUAAAUAAUCAACAAAGCUGUAUCAGUCAUUCACUGAACAUAUUGAAAUAUAACAGUUGUAUGGUUACAAGUAAUAAUAAUUGUUCAGGUAACAUGUCGAAGGAAAUGAUAUGGGUAACAGGCGAUGCAAAUGGUUUUAACAAUAAUCCAAAAUAUUAUGAUAAAAACAACGUACAGGAUAUCCAAAUAGAUAAUACAUGUGGGGAAAGAACUACAAACUGUUGUGAAGAGCCGAAAGAACACGAGACUAAAACCUUGAGCUUAAUAAGUAACGAAACAACUCGCAUAAACAACCGAAACAAGACAAUAGAAUACAAUGAGAUAGGUAAUAAUAAUAUUAAUUGGGAUAGUGUUUAUCCUAACAACAUUAUUGUUAAAGAUAUAGAAGAAAUAAACAAACGUAAAUUAUUUUUUGAGGAGAUAUAUAUAUUCCGAAUAAAUGAACACAAUGAACAAAAUAAUGAUAAUAAUUGUGAUAACUCUGCUGAAAAGCAAAAAGAAAAAGGUAUUUUAGGGGGAAUCGCACGAGGUAAUGGUGGUUUUAUUAAACGACGUGAAUACACUAGCGAAAACGAAGGUGUGAACACACGUAAUCCUUUUAAUAUUGUUUCAGAUGAUGAAUAUAGUAAAAACGAAUUUGAAAUGGGAAACCAGAAUUAUGAAAAGAUAUAUGAAGAACUUAAAAAUUUAAUGAAAGAAGAAGAAACGUAUUCAAUCGAAAUGAAUGCUGGGUUAGUUUUUAAAAACUAUAUUAAUAUAUUUAUUAGUUUUACAUGUAAUUAUUUAAUUCUGAAAAAAAAUGACAAAAACA